rnacentral:rRNA from 1 species
AUUGAACGCUGGCGGCAGGCCUAACACAUGCAAGUCGAACGAGUGGCGGACGGGUGAGUAAUGUCUGGGAAACUGCCUGAUGGAGGGGGAUAACUACUGGAAACGGUAGCUAAUACCGCAUACCAUCGGAUGUGCCCAGCUGGGAUUAGCUAGUAGGUGGGGUAAAGGCGCACCUAGGCGACGAUCCCUAGCUGGUCUGAGAGGAUGACCAGCCACCCUGGAACUGAGACACGGCCCAGACUCCUCGGGUGGGCAGCGGGGGGGAAGAUUGCACAAUGGGUGCAAUCCGGAUGCAGCCAUGCCGCGGGUAUGUAGAAGUCCUGCGGGUUGUAAAGUACUUUCAGCGGGGAGGCGUUACCCGCAGAAGAAGCACCGGCUAACUCCGUGCCAGCCGCCGCGGUAAUUC